GGUCACUUCCGGUCGUUACGAGCGAGCCCCGCCCCGCACGCCGGCGCCGGGCGGGCACACUGGACCAGCGUUCCCAGAACACUCCGCGAAGGUGUUCCUGAACUUCAUUUCCCAGAGGCUUUAGCUAACGUGUACUUUCGCCCUGCGAUGGGCCGCACAUUUUCGCCGCCAGUCUUUUGCUCCUGUUUCAGGUAUGCGUGUGCAUUGUAAACUUGUCUGACUGAACUGAUUAUAAGAAAUGCACGUCUACUGACCGAGCGCAGUGGCUCACGUCUGUAAUCUGAGCACUUUGGGAGGCCGAGGUGGGUGGAUCACUAGGUCAGGAGUUCGAGACUCAGCCUGGCCAAUAUGGUGACACCCCGUCUCUACUAAAAAUACAAAAAUUAGCCGGGCGUGGUGGCGCGCGCCUGUAGCUACUCAGGAGGCAGAGGCAGAAGAAUCGCUUGAACCCGGGAGGAAGAGGUUGCAGUCAGCCGAGAUCGCGCCACUGCACUCCAGCCUGGGCGGCAGAGCGAGACUCCGUCUCAAAAAAACAAAACAACAAAAAAAAAAAAAAGAAAGAAAGAAAAGAAAAAAAAGAAAUACACGUCUACACACAGUUUUAAAACGCAAACAAUCGUUACCUUUAUUACAUGUUCUACCUUCUAUUUUCUGUUCUACUCUUUUGUCGUUUUGAAAAUACUGGUAGUUACCCAUUAAAAUUGUUUUCACGACUCUCAAAUGAGUGGCGACCAACUUUUUUUUUUUUUUUUUUUUUUUUGAGACGGAAUCUAGCUCUGUUGCUCAGGCUGGAGUGCAAUGGCGCGAUCUCGGCUCGCUGCAACCUCCACCUCCCGGGUUCAAGCGAUUCUCCUGCCUCAGCCUCCCGAGUAGCUGGGAUUACAGGCAUGCACCACCAUCCCCGGCUAAUUUUUGUAUUUUUAGUAGAGACGAGGGGGUCACCAUGUUGGCCAGGCUGGUCUCGAACUCCUGACCUCAAGUGAUCCGCCCGCCUCGGCCUCCCAAAGUGCUGGGAUUGCAGGCGUGAGCCACUGCGCCCGGCCCCAACAUGUUUUUCUAAUGCUUAAGGAAACCCGGAGAUAAUAUUCCCAUGUUUUGCCACUUAGUAAAGCAUUUUAUAUGCCUGUGUCAGCGAGCACAUAGCUGCAAGUGUAGCCCAUGGCCAGUCUGUCACUGUGUCCUUGGCAGAAAAAAAGAAUCCAACAAAUCGGUAGGUUUUUAUAUUUAAGACAUGGCACUUGCAUUUUAUUAUGCUGGCGUGCAUCCCCAGCAUUUGGAUAAGGGGCCAAGGUCAAGUCUCUCAGACUGUUGGCUGACAAACAUUAAACCUGGAAAUCCUAACAGAGUGUAUGAAAAACAAUUACAGUCAAGGGAACAUGAUAGAGAAAGCUUCGGUCAUCUUAGAGAAUGCAUAUAUUGCCAUGAAGAGAACAUUGGUUUAAAAAAAAAUGUUCAAGAGAAUGAAAAGACAAGUCACAGACUGGGAGAAAAUACUUGCAAAGUACAUAUCUGAUAAAGAACUGAUAUCCAAAAUAUAUAAGAACUCUUAAAACUCAACAAUAAGGAGACAAACCGAUUAAAAAAAUAGGCCAAAGACCCUAACAGAUGUCACCAAAGAAGAUAUGCAGAUGGAAAAUAAGCAUAUGAAAAGAUGCUCCACAUAUGUCCUCAGUGAAAUGCAAAUUAAAACAAUGGGAUGCCACUAUACACCUGUCAAAAUGGCCAAAAUCCAGAACCCUGACAAUACCAAAUGCUGACAAGGAUGUGGAGCACAGGAACUUUCAUUCAUUGCUGGUGGGAAUGCAAAAUAUUAGAGUUACGUUGGAGGACAGUUUGACAAUUUCUUACAAAACUAAACAUACUCUUACCAUAUGAUCUAGUAAUUGUGUUCCUUGGUAUUUAUGCAAAGGAGUUGAAAAUGUAUGUCCACACAAAACGUGCCCAAGAAUGUUUAUAGCAGCUUUGUUCAUGAUAGGCAAAACUUGGAAGCAGCCAGAUGUCCUUCAGUACAUGAAUGAAUACAUAAACUAUGGUACAUUCAGACAAUGGAACAUUCAGUAAGGAAAAGAAAUGAGCUAUCAAGCUACCAAAAAGGAAGAACAGAAGAAUAUUAAGUGCGUAUUGGUGAGUGAAAGAAGUCAAUCUGGAAAAGGCUAUAUACUGUAUAAUUCCAUCUACAUAACAUUCCUGAAAAGGCUAAUCUAUGGAAACAGCAAAGAUUGGUGGUUGCCAGGGGCUUAGGGGGAGGGAAAAAGGGAAGAAUAAGUGACAUUCAGUGGAUUUUAAGAGGGAAGAAUAAGUGACGUUCAGUGGAUUUUAAGAGGGAAGAAUAAGUGACGUUCAGUGGAUUUUUAAGGCAGUGAAACUAUUCUGUAUGAUAUUGUAAUGGCGAAUACAUGUUGUUAUACAUUUGUUAAAACCCAUAGAAUAUACAGCACAAAGAGUGAACCGUAAUAUAAACUAUGGUCUUUAGUUAAUAAUAAUUUAUCAACAUUGGCUCAUCAAUUUUAACAGAUGUACCACACUAGUGCAAGAUGUUAAUAAUAGAGAAACUGGGGGAGGAGGGGAGAAGGAAGGAGUAUACUGAAACUCUACUUUCUGCUCAAUUUUUCUAUAAACCUAAAACUGUUCCCAAAAUGUUCUAUUAAAUUUAAAAUAUAAGAAUGUUAAAUAUGCUUAUGGUAAGGUCUCAGAAGGAAAUUAAUGACAUGCAAUUAGAAACUGAAGGAAUGGUUAUCUUGUUAUAAAGUGGGAGAGCCUUGGCUGAAUUGUAUUCUAUAUUUGGGUGGAAAACAGAAUUUGUACAUGAUGAACUUGAAUAUUUAGUUAAGAAGACUUCCAAGUAAAAUGUGGAAUGUGCAACCUGGUUAGUUAUUGCUGCUUAUGGUGAAAUGCAUGAGGAAAGAAAUAAACUGAGGAAGGAACUAUUCAGCACAAAGGAACCAGCACUCAUGAUUUGGAAAACUUUUAGCCAUACCUUAUACAAAUGAGGCUUUCAAUACAUGUUGAGGACACAGAAAGAUAUAAUUUUUGUCUUCAGUGACUUCUCUAUAUGUUGCACAAAGUGGCCUCCAACUCCUGACCUCAAGCAAUCCUCCCACCUCGGCCUUCCUAAAUGCUGGGGUUACAGUCCAUAAGCCACUGAACCCAGCCCUCAGAAACCUUUUGUGCUUAAAAAAACACCUCAGCAAAAUACAAAGCAACUAGUGAUAUAUUUGAACUGAAAUUACUAAUCAACUUUGGCUUGUUUUACUGUAACAAUGACUAGGGACUGGCCACAGCUGCAAUCUUACUUGUUUUACUGGGCUGAAAACAAAAACAUAGUAGAAUGGAUCUCAGUAAAGGUAGAGAGUCAGGACUUAGUUGCAGGAAACAAAAACCAGUCCAGUUUCUACUUUAGCCCUAAAUUGGAAACAAAUCAAAUGUCCUUCUAUACUUAAAAAGGCAAAUUGUCAGUUUUUCUUCAAAUACAAGGAAUACAAAGAAAAUACAUUUUUUUUCUACAAAGAAAAAAAAGUUAGCUAGGAGUGGUGGUGCAUGCUUCUAUUCCUAGCUACUCUGGAGGCUGAGGCAGAAGGAUGGCUUGUGCCCAAGAGUUCAGGUUACAGUAAGCUAUGAUGGUGCCACUGCACUCCAGUCUGUGUGAUAGAGUAAGACCCUGAUUCUAAAAUUUUUUUAAAUUUCUUAAAAGAGAUUUGAUAUUUCUUUGGUAUCUAACUUUAUUCAAAGCUGGAGUUGCAAAUGAUUUCAGCAAAAAAAAAUAAAGAUGUGCUUGAUAAAAAUAUGUCCACCAAAUAAAAAGGAUGUGAUAUGCAUUAACUAUGAACAACAAUCUAUAGCACAACUUAUAUUUGUAUGGACACCUGGCUACCCCAUCAAACUGCUUCAUGUCUAUUCCCUCAAAUUAUGGUCUUCCAUAAAACUAGUGAAUUUCUUUUAGUCUUCUUUUGAGCCUGUAGGGGUGAGAGAAUCUUUUUUCUCCCUUCUGGAGGUUGGAUAUUUGAGUCUGAGAAAUAAAGCUGCUAGUAGACAGAUUAACAGAAGAAAAGGCAUACACAUUUAUUAUGCACAUAUGCACAGAGGUCCCAGAAAGUGUAAGUGAGACUCAAAGAAGGGGCAGAUGGUUGAAGCUUAAAUAGGACUUGGAGCUACAUAAAGAAAUAGGAGCUUGAAGGCUCCUGGAAGGUGGUGGCGAGAAGCAAUGUGAGGGUCAGGGCAGGAACAGCUCUGGGAACAAAGCUUGUCUUAUUAUACAGAUAAAGUCUCUCAAGUAGCAGCCCUCAGAAUAGGUGGUGAAGAAAAGAAUUGAAGUCUGGCUGGGCGAGAUGUCCCGGGCAUGGAGACCUUUAGUUUUCUCUCCUGGGAUCUGAGUUAAUCUUCUCUGGUUAAUACAGAUUCCAGGAGAGGGUUCAUGACAAUCUCUUUCCUUCUGGAGGAACCUCCGUAAGUCAAAUAAGGGAAACUUCAGUGAAAGCCCCUCCCUGCCAUUCAAGAAAGAAAGAGGAUCAGGAGGCAGUGGGGCUGCGGAAGGUCAGAGAGACUUUGAUUCUGAGGUUGCUUCUUUAGUUCAAAGUACUCAGCACUUCCAAGAGCCAUACUUUGGGGUAUCAUUUUCUGAGCUCUAACAAGGGUCCUCAGAAAAUCUCUGUCUCUUCCCUUCCCGGUCUUCCUUCGUUUCUCCUCUUCCUCUUCCUCCUCUUCUUUCUCCUUCAUCCUCUUCUUUCUACCUCCUGUCCCUCCUUCCUUUCUCUCUUCUCCUUUCUGGUCACUUUCUUCUUUUCCUCUUCCUUCUUGUCCCUCUUCCUCAUUUAUCUACUUAGUCGACAUGAUUUCUUAGCUUGCGAUUGUUUCCCUCUUUUCUUAGAUUAGUAUAUGGUUCCAAGAAGUAGAUGAAAGCCAAUUACAAUAAUCUGUGCAUCCAAAGGGCUCAGGGAAACUCCAGGACCGGCAGCUUUAGACUUCAAGACGGAAGCAUAAGAGGAAAAGAAAACAUACUGCGU
rnacentral:tRNA from 1 species